rnacentral:rRNA from 1 species
CCUACGGGUCGCAGCAGUGGGGAAUAUUGCACAAUGGAGGAAACUCUGAUGCAGCGACGCCGCGUGAGCGAAGAAGGGAUUCGUCUCGUAAAGCUCUGUCCUAUGGGAAGAUAAUGACGGUACCAUAGAAGAAAGCCCCGGCUAACUACGUGCCAGCAGCCGCGGUAAUACGUAGGGGGCUAGCGUUGUCCGGAAUCAUUGGGCGUAAAGGGUUCGUAGGCGGUAAUACAUGUCAGAUGUGAAAUCUUGUGGCUUAACCACAUCAAGCAUCUGAAACUGUAUAACUUGAGUGAAGGAGAGGUAAGUGGAAUUCCUAGUGUAGCGGUGAAAUGCGUAGAUAUUAGGAAGAAUACCAGUAGCGAAGGCGGCUUACUGGCCUUUAACUGACGCUGAGGAACGAAAGCGUGGGUAGCAAACAGGAUUAGAUACCCGUGUAGUC